rnacentral:rRNA from 1 species
GACGAACGCUGGCGGCGUGCUUAACACAUGCAAGUCGAACGGAAAGGCCCUGCUUUUGUGGGGUGCUCGAGUGGCGAACGGGUGAGUAACACGUGAGUAACCUGCCCUUGACUUUGGGAUAACUUCAGGAAACUGGGGCUAAUACCGGAUAGGAGCUCCUGCUGCAUGGUGGGGGUUGGAAAGUUUCGGCGGUUGGGGAUGGACUCGCGGCUUAUCAGCUUGUUGGUGGGGUAGUGGCUUACCAAGGCUUUGACGGGUAGCCGGCCUGAGAGGGUGACCGGCGACAUUGGGACUGCGAUACGGCCCAGACUCCUACGGGAGGCAGCAGUGGGGAGUAUUGCACAAUGGGCGGAAGCCUGAUGCAGCAACGCCGCGUGCGGGAUGACGGCCUUCGGGUUGUAAACCGCUUUCGCCUGUGACGAAGCGUGAGUGACGGUAAUGGGUAAAGAAGCACCGGCUAACUACGUG